rnacentral:rRNA from 1 species
GAGAGUUUGAUCCUGGCUCAGGACGAACGCUGGCGGCGUGCCUAAUACAUGCAAGUCGAACGCUUCUUUUUCCACCGGAGCUUGCUCCACCGGAAAAAGAGGAGUGGCGAACGGGUGAGUAACACGUGGGUAACCUGCCCAUCAGAAGGGGAUAACACUUGGAAACAGGUGCUAAUACCGUAUAACAAUCGAAACCGCAUGGUUUUGAUUUGAAAGGCGCUUUCGGGUGUCGCUGAUGGAUGGACCCGCGGUGCAUUAGCUAGUUGGUGAGGUAACGGCUCACCAAGGCGACGAUGCAUAGCCGACCUGAGAGGGUGAUCGGCCACAUUGGGACUGAGACACGGCCCAAACUCCUACGGGAGGCAGCAGUAGGGAAUCUUCGGCAAUGGACGAAAGUCUGACCGAGCAACGCCGCGUGAGUGAAGAAGGUUUUCGGAUCGUAAAACUCUGUUGUUAGAGAAGAACAAGGAUGAGAGUAACUGUUCAUCCCUUGACGGUAUCUAACCAGAAAGCCACGGCUAACUACGUGCCAGCAGCCGCGGUAAUACGUAGGUGGCAAGCGUUGUCCGGAUUUAUUGGGCGUAAAGCGAGCGCAGGCGGUUUCUUAAGUCUGAUGUGAAAGCCCCCGGCUCAACCGGGGAGGGUCAUUGGAAACUGGGAGACUUGAGUGCAGAAGAGGAGAGUGGAAUUCCAUGUGUAGCGGUGAAAUGCGUAGAUAUAUGGAGGAACACCAGUGGCGAAGGCGGCUCUCUGGUCUGUAACUGACGCUGAGGCUCGAAAGCGUGGGGAGCAAACAGGAUUAGAUACCCUGGUAGUCCACGCCGUAAACGAUGAGUGCUAAGUGUUGGAGGGUUUCCGCCCUUCAGUGCUGCAGCUAACGCAUUAAGCACUCCGCCUGGGGAGUACGACCGCAAGGUUGAAACUCAAAGGAAUUGACGGGGGCCCGCACAAGCGGUGGAGCAUGUGGUUUAAUUCGAAGCAACGCGAAGAACCUUACCAGGUCUUGACAUCCUUUGACCACUCUAGAGAUAGAGCUUCCCCUUCGGGGGCAAAGUGACAGGUGGUGCAUGGUUGUCGUCAGCUCGUGUCGUGAGAUGUUGGGUUAAGUCCCGCAACGAGCGCAACCCUUAUUGUUAGUUGCCAUCAUUUAGUUGGGCACUCUAGCAAGACUGCCGGUGACAAACCGGAGGAAGGUGGGGAUGACGUCAAAUCAUCAUGCCCCUUAUGACCUGGGCUACACACGUGCUACAAUGGGAAGUACAACGAGUCGCGAAGUCGCGAGGCUAAGCUAAUCUCUUAAAGCUUCUCUCAGUUCGGAUUGUAGGCUGCAACUCGCCUACAUGAAGCCGGAAUCGCUAGUAAUCGCGGAUCAGCACGCCGCGGUGAAUACGUUCCCGGGCCUUGUACACACCGCCCGUCACACCACGAGAGUUUGUAACACCCGAAGUCGGUGAGGUAACCUUUUGGAGCCAGCCGCCUAAGGUGGGAUAGAUGAUUGGGGUGAAGUCGUAACAAGGUAGCCGUAUCGGAAGGUGCGGCUGGAUCACCUCCUUUCUAAGGAA